AUGAACGCUGGCGGCGUGCUUAACACAUGCAAGUCGAACGAUUAACCCGCCCUCGGGCGGUUAUAGAGUGGCGAACGGGUGAGUAACACGUGACCAACCUGCCCCUUGCUCCGGGACAACCCAGGGAAACCUCGGCUAAUACCGGAUACUCCGCGCAGCCCGCAUGGGAGGCGCGGGAAAGCCCAGACGGCAAGGGAUGGGGUCGCGGCCCAUUAGGUAGACGGCGGGGUAACGGCCCACCGUGCCCGCGAUGGGUAGCCGGGUUGAGAGACCGAUCGGCCACAUUGGGACUGAGAUACGGCCCAGACUCCUACGGGAGGCAGCAGUGGGGAAUUUUGCGCAAUGGGGGAAACCCUGACGCAGCAACGCCGCGUGCGGGACGAAGGCCUUCGGGUUGUAAACCGCUUUCAGCAGGGAAUAUAGUGAAGGUACCUGCAGAAGAAGCUCCGGCUAACUACGUGCCAGCAGCCGCGGUAAUACGUAGGGAGCGAGCGUUAUCCGGAUUCAUUGGGCGUAAAGCGCGCGUAGGCGGCCCGUCAAGCGGGGUUUCAAAUCCAGGGGCUCAACCUCUGGCCGGACCCCGAACUGGCGGGCUCGAGUGCGGUAGAGGAAGGUGGAAUUCCCAGUGUAGCGGUGAAAUGCGCAGAUAUUGGGAAGAACACCGAUGGCGAAGGCAGCCUUCUGGGCCGCCACUGACGCUGAGGCGCGAAAGCUAGGGGAGCGAACAGGAUUAGAUACCCUGGUAGUCCUAGCCGUAAACGAUGGGCACUAGGUGUGGGGGAGCAUCUCCUCCGUGCCGCAGCCAACGCAUUAAGUGCCCCGCCUGGGGAGUACGGCCGCAAGGCUAAAACUCAAAGGAAUUGACGGGGGCCCGCACAAGCAGCGGAGCAUGUGGCUUAAUUCGAAGCAACGCGAAGAACCUUACCAGGGCUUGACAUGCAGGUGAAGCGGCGGAAACGCCGUGGCCGAGAGGAGCCUGCG
rnacentral:rRNA from 1 species